rnacentral:misc_RNA from 1 species
AGGACGUAAGAUUCCAAGAGGAUCUACCACUAAAUCUGGAUGCAAGGGAUCCACCUUUCCCAUAGCAAGAAGUGCAUGAGGAGCACUUCCAGGGACGGAAUUGAAAUCUCCACACACUAACAUUGGAAUGUCUGCACUGGCAGCUAUUUUCUCCAAUCCUUUCAAAAGGGUGAGAACCUGCCAAAGCUUGACAUCCUUUAAAUCAUGAUGCACGUUCACGUGUGUGUUUGCAACACAAAGAAGCUGCCGUUUUCCAACAUUAUCAGCUCCUUGAUUACUGAAUUUUGCUUCCAAAACCA